UUUUUGAAGGUUCUUUCUUUGAUUGUGCACGGUACUGUGACGGUUCCUGGAUCCUUUUGUUUGUUAGGAAUGUUCUGCUCCAGGGAGUUUGCAUUAUAUUGUUCCUUACCAGAUACCUGUUCUUCAGUGGUUGGUUUCUUUUCAGCCAUUACCUCUUCCACGAAUUUCUUGUACAUGGGCAUCCUUUCAAGUGCUUCAAACAAAGUCAUAUGACCCUCAAUCCUUUUAAACAUUGUCAUGAAUUUCUCGAAGUCUGACUCACUAGGUUCCUUCUUUGUCACUCUCUGAGGGUAGGGCAACUUAAUCACCGGUUUAGUUCCUUUUGUAGUUUCUUCUUUAGUCGGCUCGC
rnacentral:lncRNA from 1 species